rnacentral:rRNA from 1 species
UGGAACCACCCGAUCCCAUCCCGAACUCGGAAGUGAAACGCAGCUGCGCCGAUGGUAGUGUGGCUCAAGCCAUGCGAGAGUAGGUCAUCGCCAGGG